rnacentral:tRNA from 1 species
AUUAAGAAGCUAUGAACCAGCAUUAGCCUUUUAAGCUAAAGAAAGAGGGAACCCCCCCUCCUUAAUGAUA